CAUACUCUUGUUGCUUUGGCAGGCCGUGGUCUUCCACUGUGGGCUCUGCCUGCAUGUGCCUGCCAGAGGACCAAACUCUGAAUGUUAGUGAUGUCUGAGUACUAUAUAAUAGUUAAAACUUUCAACAACGGAUCUCUUGGUUCUGGCAUCGAUGAAGAACGCAGCGAAAUGCGAUAAGUAAUGUGAAUUGCAGAAUUCAGUGAAUCAUCGAAUCUUUGAACGCACAUUGCACCCGGUGGUAUUCCGCCGGGUAUGCCUGUUCGAGCGUCAUUAUAACCACUCAAGCCUGUCUUGGUGUUGGGGAUUGCGAAUCUUGCAGCCCUAGAGUCCAGUAGCGUCACCUGUAGGUCCUAAGCGUAGUAAUUUCUCCUCGCUACAGAGACUGCUGGUGGAUAGUGUAAAUCCAGUUAAGUCUGUGUGUCCUGCUAUUAAACCCCCAAAUUUUAAAGGUUGACCUCGGAUCAAGUAGGGAUACCCGCUGAACUUAAGCAUAUCAAUAAGU
rnacentral:rRNA from 1 species